rnacentral:rRNA from 1 species
GUAGGGAAUAUUGGACAAUGGGGGGAACCCUGAUCCAGCCAUGCCGCGUGUGUGAAGAAGGCCUUUUGGUUGUAAAGCACUUUAAGCGAGGAGGAGGCUACCGAGAUUAAUACUAUUGGAUAGUGGACGUUACUCGCAGAAUAAGCACCGGCUAACUCUGUGCCAGCAGCCGCGGUAAUACAGAGGGUGCAAGCGUUAAUCGGAUUUACUGGGCGUAAAGCGCGCGUAGGUGGCCAAUUAAGUCAAAUGUGAAAUCCCCGAGCUUAACUUGGGAAUUGCAUUCGAUACUGGUUGGCUAGAGUAUGGGAGAGGAUGGUAGAAUUCCAGGUGUAGCGGUGAAAUGCGUAGAGAUCUGGAGGAAUACCGAUGGCGAAGGCAGCCAUCUGGCCUAAUACUGACACUGAGGUGCGAAAGCAUGGGGAGCAAACAGGAUUAGAAACCCUGGUAGUCC